rnacentral:rRNA from 1 species
GAUGAACGCUAGCUACAGGCUUAACACAUGCAAGUCGAGGGGCAGCAUGGUCUUAGCUUGCUAAGGCCGAUGGCGACCGGCGCACGGGUGAGUAACACGUAUCCAACCUGCCGUCUACUCUUGGACAGCCUUCUGAAAGGAAGAUUAAUACAAGAUGGCAUCAUGAGUCCGCAUGUUCACAUGAUUAAAGGUAUUCCGGUAGACGAUGGGGAUGCGUUCCAUUAGAUAGUAGGCGGGGUAACGGCCCACCUAGUCUUCGAUGGAUAGGGGUUCUGAGAGGAAGGUCCCCCACAUUGGAACUGAGACACGGUCCAAACUCCUACGGGAGGCAGCAGUGAGGAAUAUUGGUCAAUGGGCGAGAGCCUGAACCAGCCAAGUAGCGUGAAGGAUGACUGCCCUAUGGGUUGUAAACUUCUUUUAUAAAGGAAUAAAGUCGGGUAUGUAUACCCGUUUGCAUGUACUUUAUGAAUAAGGAUCGGCUAACUCCGUGCCAGCAGCCGCGGUAAUACGGAGGAUCCGAGCGUUAUCCGGAUUUAUUGGGUUUAAAGGGAGCGUAGAUGGAUGUUUAAGUCAGUUGUGAAAGUUUGCGGCUCAACCGUAAAAUUGCAGUUGAUACUGGAUAUCUUGAGUGCAGUUGAGGCAGGCGGAAUUCGUGGUGUAGCGGUGAAAUGCUUAGAUAUCACGAAGAACUCCGAUUGCGAAGGCAGCCUGCUAAGCUGCAACUGACAUUGAGGCUCGAAAGUGUGGGUAUCAAACAGGAUUAGAUACCCUGGUAGUCCACACGGUAAACG